AGAACGAACGCUGGCGGCAUGCCUAAUACAUGCAAGUCGAACGAAGGCUUCGGCCUUAGUGGCGCACGGGUGCGUAACGCGUGGGAAUCUGCCCCUUGGUUCGGAAUAACAGUUGGAAACGACUGCUAAUACCGGAUGAUGACGAAAGUCCAAAGAUUUAUCGCCAAGGGAUGAGCCUGCGUAGGAUUAGCUAGUUGGUGAGGUAAAGGCUCACCAAGGCGACGAUCCUUAGCUGGUCUGAGAGGAUGAUCAGCCACA
rnacentral:rRNA from 1 species